rnacentral:lncRNA from 1 species
UAAUGCUAAGUAAGCUUUAAUUAAAUUUUUUUAAAAAAAAACUCAAAGAAAUUUCAAAGAAACAAUAAGAAAUCUUAAAAAAAUAUUAGAAUGAUCACAAAUAUAUCUCAAAUACAUCUCAAUUCAAUCUUAAUUUAAUCCUAGUUAAAAUCCUAUUGGACUUCAUUCAAACUUUAGGCCAAAACUAAUUAAAUCUUAAAUCCUAAACAAAUCCUAAUAAAAUCCUUAAUCCUAAAUCAAACCCUAAACCUUAAACCAAACCCUAAUCAAAUCCUAAACUAAACUCUAUCCAAACCCUAAAUCAAACCCUAAAUCUUAAUCAAACCCUAAAUCCUAAACUAAAUCCUAAACGAAUCUUAAACCAAAUCUCAACCAAAUCCUAAUUCAAACCCUAAUCAACUCCUAAUCAAAUCAUAAAUCCUAAACCAAAUCCUAAAAAAAUCCUAAACAAAUCCUAAUCAAAUCUUAAAUCCUAAACCAAAUCCUAAACAAACCUUAAAUCAAACCCUAAAUCCUAAAUCAAAC